CGCCCAGGCGGGGCCGCGCAGCGCCGGGAGCGCGCACAGGCGGCAGCUCGCAGCCCGCCGGGGCAGCGCCGAGCGCCGGGCAAUGGAGCCCUCGCCCAAAGACGGCGAGAGCGCGGCGGCCGCGGAGCCCAGCCGGGGCGCCGGCUCCUCCAGCGGGGUGGUGGUGCAGGUCCGGGAGAAGAAGGGCCCCCUGCGCGCCGCCAUCCCCUACAUGCCGUUCCCCGUGGCUGUCAUCUGCCUCUUCCUCAACACCUUCGUGCCGGGGCUGGGGACACUUGUAUCAGCUUUCACGGUGCUGUGUGGAGCCCGGACCGACCUCCCUGACAGGCACAUGUGCUGUGUCUUCUGGCUGAACAUUGCCGCUGCACUGAUUCAGAUCCUGACAGCAAUCGUGAUGGUUGGCUGGAUUAUGAGUAUAUUUUGGGGGAUGGACAUGGUCAUUCUUGCAACGGAGCGGAGGUGCAGAGCGGCAGCAGGAGACUUGCACUGAGCGAGGAGCAGAGAUGGGGCAGAGGCAGCGUGCGGUGGGCCCAGCCCCAGCCCGUGUGCGGCGGGUGGUCGAGGAGGAGGAAAAGCAGGGUGCCGAGAGGAGGAAAGCCCCCAGUGAAGGUGGCACCCGGGCAGGCAGCAGAGCUGGGGGAGCGGGAGGUGUUGGUCUCUCUGUCCUCCCAGCAGCAAGCGGUCAAAGACAUUCUGCCUCCUGUUAGACGUUUUUUGCCUCCUGUUACAGUUAAAGAAAACCAGCUGUGAACAUCAAAUGCCAAGGAGCUAUCAAUAGACAGACGUACAGCCUGUAGAAGCAACAAGCGGUCCCUUUUUCCCUUCUGAGAGCCCCUUCUUGACUGCUUGGUGGCAGCAGAGGGCUCAGCCCAGCUUCCUCAGCUGUGUACCUUCGAUGCUCUAUCAUUGCAGAUGUCUUGAGAAAUGUGCUUGCUGUAAAUCGCGUUUUACUCUUAAACUGACUUGGGCUGUCCUCUACAUCGAUCCUCUGGCUCCAGGCAAGCACCAGACCUCCCUACUGGCCCCGGGAGGCUCCUACCAGCGGGAGACGGGGAUCCCCUGCACCCCUGUGUGCUGCUGGUGGGGCAGUGGGACAAGCCCCGUGCUGCCAAAAACCUCCAGUGUAAAGACUUCUCCCCUUCCCCUGGGAGGAACCUGCUGUCCUUGGUUUGGCCGUGGAUCCCUGUGCAGCGUGUCCUGCAGGAUCGGUCGAUGGAGCAUCUCCAGCUCUGCUCCCCAGGGUCGAUCAAGCAACCAAUGUACAACUCCAGAGGUGCUGAGGUCUGCCAGAUGGACACCAAGGCCAAAGGGUCCAAUUUCUGCCUGUGAGAGGGAUCAACUUUAAUAAACAGCCAGAUUUCCACUCCCUACUUCAGGACAGGAGCAGCUUUACAGAUUUGCCACUCUCCCAGCUACCUUAGAGGGAGCACUGGACUGAAUUUUCAACCAACUGCUGCAAAAGCAAUGAGGAACGCUGCUUUUUCCAGUAGCCCUUCCCUGGAGAGACAUUUCUGUGACACCACUGGAUGGACGGAGGAUGUUUUUUCCCUGCUCCUGAGAGACUAGACCUCUGUCCAGGGAUGGAUCGAGCAGAGCCCAGACCCCGACACUGCUCCCAAGGAGCCCACAGCAGGGGAAGCCAGCAGCCAGAAGCAGGGGGCCACAAUUUUCACUGGUGAGAAGACCAAUGCCAUGAAAGCCCA
rnacentral:lncRNA from 1 species